rnacentral:tRNA from 1 species
GUGCCCAUAGUUCAGUUUGGUAGAGCAACGGCCUUCUAAGCCGUGGUCCGGGGUUCGAAUCCCUGUGGGCACGCCA